CUGUCGGCCGCCCUGGCUCUCCCAGUACGUCUGGUCCAGGAACAGAGACUGGAGGAGCUUCUCCCGCAGCCUCCUGCUCUUCAGCACCGACACGGCCUGCUCUGGAAGCCUGGAAACACAGAAAGUGAAGAAGAGAAAGCUCAUACAAAUGAAAUGCAGUAGUGCUGCAGCUGGGAACAGCCGUCAGGUUUGGAGUUGGUCUCCUCUCUCCACUUAACUAUGAAUGGAGCUUUGACUGAACUCAAAGAAAACUCUACAGAGAACAGAUCUCAACAGAUCUAGAGAACCGAGGGAAGAUCAGCUACAGUUUUGAUGAAGAUCACAAGGGUCCACGAGUGAGGAGGAGACAUGGGCGUCCUUGCCAAACCACAGUUUCUGUUCCGUCUCCCGUGUGAUGACUGUGUGCAGACCUUUCCUUCAGAACCUCUGAGUGGGCCUCGAGUUUCAACACUCUCCUUUCACAGAUUCAAAUGCUGUAAUUUGUCAACCAUGUAGUUCAGGCAGAAAAAGAUCUGAAACGCUGGAAAACAGCAACUGACAACAACAAGAAAGACUUUCCACCAAUCAUUUUUGUGGAAAUUUUUUUUUACCUCCAAGGAUAGUCAAUAACAGCCCCAGUGUCCGCAGGAUACAACGUUAGCUCUUAUCAUUUCUGCAAACCGCCAGUGCGUUAAAAGUUUGACUUGGCAGAGACUACGUACGGACUUUUGUACAAAACAUGCACAGGACACGUUUACAUGAGGAGGUGGAGGGUGAAGUUUGAUGCUACGUUGAGACAUUGGUAAGAGUGACACCACUGGAUGUCUUUCAGCAGAUCUGGGACCUUUCCAGCCGUGUUUGUGGUGAGUGAAGGAGGUCGGGCCAAACGUGAUGUUUCCCUAAACCUAACCAGAGCAUCAGCACAGAGCCAAGCAGAAAACUGAACCUGAACAAAC